rnacentral:rRNA from 1 species
UUGGCCUCAAAUCGGGUGAGACUACCCGCUGAACUUAAGCAUAUCAAUAAGCGGAGGAAAAGAAACUAACAAGGAUACCCCUAGUAACUGCGAGUGAAGCGGGAAAAGCUCAAAUUUAAAAUCUGGCGGUUCUUUGCCGUCCGAGUUGUAAUUUAGAGAAGCGUCUUCCGCGUCGGACCGUGCACAAGUCUCCUGGAAUGGAGCGUCAUAGAGGGUGAGAAUCCCGUCUUUGGCACUGAUCCCUGGUGCUUCUGUGAUGCGCUCUC